GAUGAACGCUGGCGGCGUGCUUAACACAUGCAAGUCGAACGAGAAGUGGAGACGGAAACCUUCGGGCGGAAGACUUUAUUUCGAGUGGCGGACGGGUGAGUAACGCGUGGGUAACCUGCCUCAUACAGGGGGAUAACAGUUGGAAACGACUGUUAAUACCGCAUAAGACCACAGCACCGCAUGGUGCGGGGGUAAAAACUCCGGUGGUAUGAGAUGGACCCGCGUUCGAUUAGCCAGUUGGCGGGGUAACGGCCCACCAAAGCGACGAUCGAUAGCCGAUCUGAGAGGAUGACCGGCCACAUUGGGACUGAGACACGGCCCAAGCUCCUACGGGAGGCAGCAGUGGGGAAUAUUGCACAAUGGGGGAAACCCUGAUGCAGCGACGCCGCGUGAGUGAAGAAGUAUUUCGGUAUGUAAAGCUCUAUCAGCAGGGAAGAAAAUGACGGUACCUGAGUAAGAAGCCCCGGCUAACUACGUG
rnacentral:rRNA from 1 species